GAAAUGUGAUAAGUAGUGUGAAUUGCAGAAUUCAGUGAAUCAUCGAAUCUUUGAACGCACAUUGCGCCCCUUGGUAUUCCAUGGGGCAUGCCUGUUCGAGCGUCAUUUGUACCCUCAAGCUCUGCUUGGUGUUGGGUGUUUGUCCCCGUCUCCGCGCGUGGACUCGCCCCAAAGUGAUUGGCAGCCGGCGUACUGGUCCCGGAGCGCAGCACAUGUCGCGCAAACGAGUGCCUUGGUACGGCGGCGUCCAUAAGCCCCUCUCUCACGCUCUUGACCUCGGAUCAGGUAGGGAUACCCGCUGAACUUAAGC
rnacentral:misc_RNA from 1 species